rnacentral:sRNA from 1 species
CAGAUACAUCCUCGCGACUAAUGACAGCCUUUUCCCAUUCGCCGGAAAGCGCUGUCAUUAGUCGCGCGAAUCGCUGUAUUUAAAGAGUCGUUGUAAGCGGAUAACAGCGAGAUAUACCGCUUUCAGAAGAAAAGGGGCCAUCUUCGGCCCCUUU